GCGGCAGGAAGUGAAAUUACUUAUGACUAUGGUGGGAAAGAAUGGCCCUGGCGGAAAAAGCUAAAGAUCGCAAGCAUCCCUUCUGGUCAACAGUGUGUUGCAGAGCCUAUUGCCCAUGACGUGGAGCACCAUGUGAUCUCUACAGACUCAUUCACAGACAGAGAAUUAAGAGCAGAGUGUCAGUCAUCUAGACCUACAGCAGACAACUCUGAGCAUGAGGUGCAUUCUGUUGGAGGUCAGCGUGGCACUUCUUCUCUGAAAGAGUUAAUUGGUGAAGGUGGUGUCCAGUAUCAGGAGUUGUCACCCCAAGCGUUCUCAGAAGAACUUACCAGUGAGAGCAAAUCGAAAGAGGUGCCACAAUCAUCCAGAGCUGUGCCUAAUGACUCUGCUUGUGAGUGUACAAUUCAUAGGCUGGUAUUUGAAUCGGUGAAACUUGACAAAUGCGGGAUAUGCCAUUCACCUUUGACAGCUAUCAGAUGGCACGGUCUAAG